UGGAGAGUUUGAUCCUGGCUCAGAUUGAACGCUGGCGGCAGGCCUAACACAUGCAAGUCGAGCGGAUGAGUGGAGCUUGCUCCAUGAUUCAGCGGCGGACGGGUGAGUAAUGCCUAGGAAUCUGCCUGGUAGUGGGGGACAACGUUUCGAAAGGAACGCUAAUACCGCAUACGUCCUACGGGAGAAAGCAGGGGACCUUCGGGCCUUGCGCUAUCAGAUGAGCCUAGGUCGGAUUAGCUAGUUGGUGAGGUAAAGGCUCACCAAGGCGACGAUCCGUAACUGGUCUGAGAGGAUGAUCAGUCACACUGGAACUGAGACACGGUCCAGACUCCUACGGGAGGCAGCAGUGGGGAAUAUUGGACAAUGGGCGAAAGCCUGAUCCAGCCAUGCCGCGUGUGUGAAGAAGGUCUUCGGAUUGUAAAGCACUUUAAGUUGGGAGGAAGGGCAGUAAGUUAAUACCUUGCUGUUUUGACGUUACCGACAGAAUAAGCACCGGCUAACUUCGUGCCAGCAGCCGCGGUA
rnacentral:rRNA from 1 species